GAUGAGCGCUGGCGGCGUGCCUAAUACAUGCAAGUCGAGCGAACAGACGAGGAGCUUGCUCCUCUGACGUUAGCGGCGGACGGGUGAGUAACACGUGGAUAACCUACCUAUAAGACUGGGAUAACUUCGGGAAACCGGAGCUAAUACCGGAUAACAUGUUGAACCGCAUGGUUCAACAGUGAAAGAAGGUCUUGCUGUCACUUAUAGAUGGAUCCGCGCCGCAUUAGCUAGUUGGUAAGGUAACGGCUUACCAAGGCAACGAUGCGUAGCCGACCUGAGAGGGUGAUCGGCCACACUGGAACUGAGACACGGUCCAGACUCCUACGGGAGGCAGCAGUAGGGAAUCUUCCGCAAUGGGCGAAAGCCUGACGGAGCAACGCCGCGUGAGUGAAGAAGGUCUUCGGAUCGUAAAACUCUGUUAUUAGGGAAGAACAAAUGUGUAAGUAACUAUGCACGUCUUGACGGUACCUAAUCAGAAAGCCACGGCUAACUACGUG
rnacentral:rRNA from 1 species